rnacentral:rRNA from 1 species
AACGAACGCUGGCGGCAGGCCUAACACAUGCAAGUCGAGCGAAGCCUUCGGGCUUAGCGGCGGACGGGUGAGUAACGCGUGGGUACGUGCCCUUUGCUACGGAAUAGCCCCGGGAAACUGGGAGUAAUACCGUAUGUGCCCUUCGGGGGAAAGAUUUAUCGGCAAAGGAUCGGCCCGCGUUGGAUUAGGUAGUUGGUGGGGUAAUGGCCUACCAAGCCGACGAUCCAUAGCUGGUUUGAGAGGAUGAUCAGCCACACUGGGACUGAGACACGGCCCAGACUCCUACGGGAGGCAGCAGUGGGGAAUCUUAGACAAUGGGGGAAACCCUGAUCUAGCCAUGCCGCGUGAUCGAUGAAGGCCUUAGGGUUGUAAAGAUCUUUCAGUGGGGAAGAUAAUGACUGUACCCACAGAAGAAGCCCCGGCUAACUACGUGCCAGCAGCCGCAGUAACAC